CAGCAAGUUCCUGGGAGGCAGUGGUUUGCAAGAUAUGUGAAUGCACAGAGAGUGAUUUCCAAAAAGGUUGAUGAAUCAAUAUUUUUCCGUCUGGUGCAAUAUUUUGCUGUGGUGCUGUUUGAAUGUAACGAAGCAGAAGACUUUGUUCCCGCCAAAAACCUCAUGAAUAUGUGCUUCACUUUUUACCAUGAAUCUCAGCAUGGCCGCCACCGGUACAAGAAUUUUCUGUAUAGUUAUUUAAGAGAACAGCCUAUAUGGCGGUCUCUCAGGUUUUGGAAUGCUGCUUUCUUUGAUGCUGUCCAAAAUGAGCGAGCCAGAAAACCAGUGUGUACCAGGUAAUUGGUGUUUAUUUA